AUGGCUGAAAAGCCACACCAGAAUUCCUGCAAUUCAGUGAGGCAGCUCUUCAAAACCAAGCAGCUGGUGACGCACAGGGACAGAGGGAGCUGUACGCACAGGGCCCAGGGGCUGCUGGCUGCCAGGACCACCGCAUUGCAGAGGUCUCCCUUGCAGCAAGAGAUCUGGGAGUCCACAACGGCACUUAACCUGCCCUCUGCCCUGGCACCCCAGGGACUCACUGCCAAAGACGCUCACUUUCUGGGAGACACAGACCCCAUCCAGGAAGGGGCACGAGACCACGCUGCAGGAGGCCCCUUCCAAGACCGCCAAGCAUCUGUAGCAGCGCAGACCCUGAGCUGGGAGAGAGGGCAAGGAUUCUCUCGGCACCACGGGAACCACCUUCUCUACUCUCACUGA
ensembl:lncRNA LY6S-AS1 LY6S antisense RNA 1